rnacentral:rRNA from 1 species
UGGGGAAUAUUGCACAAUGGGCGCAAGCCUGAUGCAGCAACGCCGCGUGAACGAUGAAGGUCUUCGGAUCGUAAAGUUCUGUUGCAGGGGAAGAUAAUGACGGUACCCUGUGAGGAAGCCCCGGCUAACUACGUGCCAGCAGCCGCGGUAAUACGUAGGGGGCUAGCGUUAUCCGGAUUUACUGGGCGUAAAGGGUGCGUAGGUGGUCUUUCAAGUCGGUGGUUAAAGGCUACGGCUCAACCGUAGUUAGCCUCCGAAACUGGAAGACUUGAGUGCAGGAGAGUAAAGUGGAAUUCCCAGUGUAGCGGUGAAAUGCGUAGCUAUUGGGAGGAACACCAGUAGCGAAGGCGGCUUUCUGGACUGCAACUGACACUGAGGCACGAACGCGUGGGUAGCAAACAGG